UGUACGUGGUGGAGAUGUCGCUGUUGAAAGAACAAUACAAGAAGCAGGGUCCAUACUCUCUAGCUUGCCCGGCUCUGUGGUCAAGAACGCUGAAGUUGAUCUUGAUCUGAAGUCUGGAUUUGCGAAAGCAGUCUUCACUGGUGGGGCUACGCUGUUGUGUAAGUAAUGUGUCCUGUCAUGAUAGUUAUCAUCAUCAUACCAACUGUCUAGUCUAUAACUUUGUACCUUAGGCUUCACAAUGCAACAGAGUGUGAGUUUGGCUUAACGCCGCUUUGAACACAUUUUCAGUUAUUUCACGGCGUGUCGGGAAAAGCCCGAACUGAUCCAGUUCUGUGACGUUUACCACUUUGAUGAAAGCCACGAGCAGGGGUAUGGUGCUGGCAAACAAAG